GGGCGUAUGGUGUAGUGGUAUCACGCCUGAUUUGCAAGCAUAUGCUUGGAAAAGUUUCAGGCGGUCCAGAGUUCGAUCCUCUGUGCGUCCA
rnacentral:tRNA from 1 species